rnacentral:lncRNA from 1 species
CUUUGCCCUCACCCCAAAUGAGAAGAGAAGAGAAGAGUAAGAAGGCCAAAAGGAAUCAUAGACAAACAAGACAACUUUCAAAGAUCCCAUUGAUUGGCUUCUGAAGAUCCCCACCAGGUAUAUUCUCAUGAUGUCAACCACUAGGCAAAAAGAUACCCUGGUUCAAAGCAUCUCAUGUUACAUAUAAGGUCUUUAAGAAAGGGUUAUGUAGUCUUGGCUCUGACUGAAGUCCUUGGAUGUGGAAUCUCUGAGGGCACUUCACAGCAAGGUAAACAUCACGUCUGUGAGAGUCGAGGCAGCCCCCCGACCCGCAAGGAGGGAAAGAGGCUGAAGCUUGAGAGCCUCAAUGAAAUCUCUCAACACCGUAUUCAGAUUUAUCUCAUUCAGACUCUGAUGAAGAUGAGAUAUCCAAAGAACAAACCAAGGUCCUGACAGCCAGCAUGCCAUUUAAUGUUAUUGGUUCUAACCAGCUCGUUGAGGUCAAAGGAAAAAAAAGAUCAGAGGCCACCUGUAUCCUUGGAGUGGUUCAAGUUGAGAACCCAGAAAGCAAUGAUUUCCUUAAGUUGCCAACUGUGUUGGGAACACACAUGUAGGACCUGCAAGAAGUGACCCAGGAUUUGCAUUAUGAGAACUUCUCAUUGGAGCAGCUGAAACGUAGCCAUAGACUUGAAGGGGACCAGGUGGUCAACAAGGACUGGAUCCUUCAGUAGGAGGCUGAGCAGCAAAGGAUGCAGGAGAUGAUUGCACAGAUGCAAGCCCAGAUGCAGAUGAAGCCUGAG